UUAGCUUCCUGAUGGGCAUCUUUUAACCCACCAACAGUUGUAUCAUUAGCACUUUUCUUUGUGCACGUGUCAUUUGUUUGAGCAACUGACUGGUAAACAGGGAAUUGACCAGGAUUGACAACAGGAGGGGUCAGAUGCUGUAGGCCGCCAUACUGCAUGAAAUGCGUAUAAGCAUUCAGCCCAUAAGCAAAAGGGCUAGCAAAUACAUAGUUGUUUGGAUGAGGAAAUGGCAUUAAGCCAUUCGCAGGAGCUACUCCCCAAGAAGCCGGACUUUGAUAAUAAUAACCCAUUGCAGGAGCUUGAAACAAAGGAAAGUGUAUGCCUUGAUUUUGGACUGGUGGAUGCACACGUUGAGGUUGAGUUCCAAGAGAAGCCCCAUUCAUAUUUCCACUACUGCAAGUUGAAUUAGCUGUUACAGGAAAACUUUGCACUGUAGUCGUUCUUGCAGCAUCUGGGGUAAGGCACUCAACAUGAACACCACUACCAGUAGCAUUACCCUUUUGUUGCGCAACUUCAUAGUCACAUGCUGUAGGCCGCCAUACUGCAUGAAAUGUGUAUAAGCAUUCAGACCAUAAGCAAAAGGGUUAGCAAAUACAUAGUGGUUUGGAUGAGGAAAUGGCAUUAAGCCAUUCGC
rnacentral:lncRNA from 1 species